rnacentral:lncRNA from 1 species
GUCACCAAAGCGUCACGACAGUUUCCAAGACCCCUCAUAUAAUCUCUAAUGGGGAUCAGUCGGAGCACGUAGGAAUGCCGACCACUACAUAAGCCACGUCUGGCUGAGGCGAGCAGCAAGCGGGGGAGAGUCUUUUUAAGUACAGGAACGUUGGGGUGGGAUGCUAGUACUUAAACUAGAGUUGCUUCUUAGCGCUAAUCUUGCAUUUUUAGUAGUUAGUUGUAGCAUGCCUUCCCUCCUUCUCUCAUUUCAGAAAGAUUUGGUAGUAUUUUCUUAUGAUGACCUGGUCGAGAGAGUACAAAACAUCGGUGCAAAAGAUUGAGUGGGAUGGUUAUAGUAAGGGCGAACCAAGUGCUUGCACGAAGAAGCGAAUCAAUCAAAAUGGAGACAAGGAAAGGAGGAGACGUGAAACUCAACUAAAAUGGAAAAGGGAACUCGACCGACUAUCAUGAGCGAAGUGA